rnacentral:rRNA from 1 species
CGAGCGGUAGAGAUUCUUCGGAAUCUUGAGAGCGGCGUACGGGUGCGGAACACGUGUGCAACCUGCCUUUAUCUGGGGGAUAGCCUUUCGAAAGGAAGAUUAAUACCCCAUAAUAUACUGAAUGGCAUCAUUCGGUAUUGAAAACUCCGGUGGAUAGAGAUGGGCACGCGCAAGAUUAGAUAGUUGGUGAGGUAACGGCUCACCAAGUCUACGAUCUUUAGGGGGCCUGAGAGGGUGAUCCCCCACACUGGUACUGAGACACGGACCAGACUCCUACGGGAGGCAGCAGUGAGGAAUAUUGGACAAUGGGUGAGAGCCUGAUCCAGCCAUCCCGCGUGAAGGACGACGGCCCUAUGGGUUGUAAACUUCUUUUGUAUAGGGAUAAACCUAGAUACGUGUAUCUAGCUGAAGGUACUAUACGAAUAAGCACCGGCUAACUCCGUGCCAGCAGCCGCGGUAAUACGGAGGGUGCAAGCGUUAUCCGGAUUUAUUGGGUUUAAAGGGUCCGUAGGCGGAUCUGUAAGUCAGUGGUGAAAUCUCACAGCUUAACUGUGAAACUGCCAUUGAUACUGCAGGUCUUGAGUGUUGUUGAAGUAGCUGGAAUAAGUAGUGUAGCGGUGAAAUGCAUAGAUAUUACUUAGAACACCAAUUGCGAAGGCAGGUUACUAAGCAACAACUGACGCUGAUGGACGAAAGCGUGGGGAGCGAACAGGAUUAGAUACCCUGGUAGUCCACGCCGUAAACGAUGCUAACUCGUUUUUGGAGCGCAAGCUUCAGAGACUAAGCGAAAGUGAUAAGUUAGCCACCUGGGGAGUACGAACGCAAGUUUGAAACUCAAAGGAAUUGACGGGGGCCCGCACAAGCGGUGGAUUAUGUGGUUUAAUUCGAUGAUACGCGAGGAACCUUACCAAGGCUUAAAUGGGAAAUGACAGGUUUAGAAAUAGACUUUUCUUCGGACAUUUUUCAAGGUGCUGCAUGGUUGUCGUCAGCUCGUGCCGUGAGGUGUUAGGUUAAGUCCUGCAACGAGCGCAACCCCUGUCACUAGUUGCCAUCAUUAAGUUGGGGACUCUAGUGAGACUGCCUACGCAAGUAGAGAGGAAGGUGGGGGAUGACGUCAAAUCAUCACGGCCCUUACGCCUUGGGCCACACACGUAAUACAAUGGCCGGUACAGAGGGCAGCUACACUGCGAAGUGAUGCAAAUCUCGAAAGCCGGUCUCAGUUCGGAUUGGAGUCUGCAACUCGACUCUAUGAAGCUGGAAUCGCUAGUAAUCGCGCAUCAGCCAUGGCGCGGUGAAUACGUUCCCCGGGCCUUGUACACACCGCCCGUCAAGCCAUGGAAGUCUGGGGUACCUGAAGUCGGUGACC